rnacentral:rRNA from 1 species
ACUCCUACGGGAGGCAGCAGUAGGGAAUCUUCCACAAUGGGCGCAAGCCUGAUGGAGCAACACCGCGUGAGUGAAGAAGGGUUUCGGCUCGUAAAGCUCUGUUGUUAAAGAAGAACACGUAUGAGAGUAACUGUUCAUACGUUGACGGUAUUUAACCAGAAAGUCACGGCUAACUACGUGCCGGCAGCCGCGGUAAUACGUAGGUGGCAAGCGUUAUCCGGAUUUAUUGGGCGUAAAGAGAGUGCAGGCGGUUUUCUAAGUCUGAUGUGAAAGCCUUCGGCUUAACCGGAGAAGUGCAUCGGAAACUGGAUAACUUGAGUGCAGAAGAGGGUAGUGGAACUCCAUGUGUAGCGGUGGAAUGCGUAGAUAUAUGGAAGAACACCAGUGGCGAAGGCGGCUACCUGGUCUGCAACUGACGCUGAGACUCGAAAGCAUGGGUAGCGAACAGGAUUAGAUACCCUGGUAGGAUAGCG